GGACCGGGCUAGGCGAUCGCUCUAUGGUAGAAAUCAUGGGGAGGAAAGUCCGAACACGGCCCCGCAUAGGGCGGGGAGAAUGGUAGCGGGUAAUUCCCGCACGCCGCGAGGUGCGAGGUGCGAUCAGAGACGCUUGAAUGCGAAAGCAAACAAGCAUCCCAUCGUUGAUUGGAUGAGUCGGGAGGUAACUUCCGAGAUGAAACGGCCAAAUCCUUACUGCCGUGCAAGGCCGAGCCCCGAGAGUAAUCGAGGGGAGUGCCGCUCGAGCCCGAGAGUAAUCGAGGGCCAAGAUAAAUGAUCGUCCGCGACAGAAUUCGGCUUAUCGGCCCGGUCCACAA
rnacentral:RNase_P_RNA from 1 species